UUAAAACCCAAAGGACUUGACGGUACCCCACAUCCCCCUAGAGGAGCCUGUCCUAUAAUCGAUAACCCACGUUUAACCUCACCAUUUUUAGUUAAUCAGCCUGUAUACCUCCGUCGUCAGCUUACCACGUGAGCGUUAGUUAGUGAGCCCAAUGUAUUUCACCAAAACGUCAGGUCAAGGUGCAGUAAAUGAAAUGGAAAGAGAUGGGCUACACUUUCUACUUUAGAAAAAACGAAAAACUACCUAUGAAAUCUAGUUAAAAGGCGGAUUUAGUAGUAAAAAGGAAUCAGCAUGUCCAUUUUAACCCGGCACUGGGGUGUGU
rnacentral:rRNA from 1 species